rnacentral:misc_RNA from 1 species
GAUGAAGAACGCAGCGAAAUGCGAUAAGUAGUGUGAAUUGCAGAAUUCAGUGAAUCAUCGAAUCUUUGAACGCACAUUGCGCCCCUUGGUAUCCCGAGGGGCAUGCCUGUUCGAGCGUCAUUUCACCACUCAAGCCUGGCUUGGUGUUGGGCGACGUCCCCUUUGGGGACGCGCCUCGAAACGCUCGGCGGCGUGGCACCGGCUUUAAGCGUAGCAGAAUCUUUCGCUUUGGAAGUCGGGGCCCCGCCUGCCGGAAUACCUACUUGUAAGGUUGACCUCGGAUCAGGCAGGGAUACCCGCUGAACUUAAGCAUAUCAAUAAGCGGAGGA